rnacentral:rRNA from 1 species
GUGGGGAAUCUUCCGCAAUGGACGAAAGUCUGACGGAGCAACGCCGCGUGAGUGAAGAAGGUUUUCGGAUCGUAAAGCUCUUUCGUUAGGGACGAACGUGCUCUUUGUGAAUAAUGAGGAGUAAUGACGGUACCUAAAUAAGAAGCCACGGCUAACUACGUGCCAGCAGCCGCGGUAAUACGUAGGUGGCAAGCGUUGUCCGGAAUUAUUGGGCGUAAAGCGCGCGCAGGCGGGAUAUCAAGUCUGUCUUAAAAGUGCGAGGCUCAACCUCGUGAGGUGACAGAAACUGGUAUUCUUGAGUGUCGGAGAGGAAAGUGGAAUUCCAAGUGUAGCGGUGAAAUGCGUAGAGAUGUGGAAGAACACCAGUGGCGAAGGCGACUUUCUGGACGAUGUCUGACGCUGAGGCGCGAAAGCUAGGGGAGCGAACGGGAUUAGAUACCCGAGUAGUCC